AUUGAACGCUGGCGGCAGGCCUAACACAUGCAAGUCGAGCGGAUGAAGGGAGCUUGCUCCUGGAUUCAGCGGCGGACGGGUGAGUAAUGCCUAGGAAUCUGCCUGGUAGUGGGGGAUAACGUCCGGAAACGGGCGCUAAUACCGCAUACGUCCUGAUGGAGAACGUGGGGGAUCUUCGGACCUCACGCUAUCAGAUGAGCCUAGGUCGGAUUAGCUAGUUGGUGGGGUAAAGGCCUACCAAGGCGACGAUCCGUAACUGGUCUGAGAGGAUGAUCAGUCACACUGGAACUGAGACACGGUCCAGACUCCUACGGGAGGCAGCAGUGGGGAAUAUUGGACAAUGGGCGAAAGCCUGAUCCAGCCAUGCCGCGUGUGUGAAGAAGGUCUUCGGAUUGUAAAGCACUUUAAGUUGGGAGGAAGGGCAGUAAGUUAAUACCUUGCUGUUUUGACGUUACCAACAGAAUAAGCACCGGCUAACUUCGUG
rnacentral:rRNA from 1 species